UACGGAGGGGGCUAGCGUUGUUCGGAAUUACUGGGCGUAAAGCGCGCGUAGGCGGACCUGCAAGUCGGGGGUGAAAGCCCGAGGCUCAACCUCGGAACUGCCUUCGAUACUGCGGGUCUCGAGUCCGGGAGAGGUGAGUGGAACUGCGAGUGUAGAGGUGAAAUUCGUAGAUAUUCGCAAGAACACCAGUGGCGAAGGCGGCUCUCUGGGACGGUACUGACGCUGAGACGCGAAAGCGUGGGGAGCGAACAGG
rnacentral:rRNA from 1 species